GUCUCCAUGGAAACCAUUAGUUGCUAAGCAACUGGAGCAUCAUCUGUGCUGAGCUCUCGCAUCUAAUUAUCCCAUCACAGCAGCCGAGAAGGGUUUGGGGAGCUGAGAGGAGGGGGAGGCCAAGCGAAGGAGCAAGAGGAUAACUCUUUUAGCAAAGCAGAUUCAUUGACAAUGCUGAAGUCAUUUAAAGCCACAGCACCUUGUUCCUCUGGAGGAUUUACCAAUGGCUUGGACAGUUUUAGAACCCAAGCUUGUCUUCUACUCAUGGUUCUCACACCACAGUACCACUCCUCUGCUGCCCACCAAUCAGAAAAACAUGACUACGUCUCCACAGGCAUGCAGACCUCUGAGGGCAGCUAUUGACCUUGUGUUGACAGCAGUGACACAGAGCUUUAGGAGAGUCACUUUGAACCUCAAGUUUUUCACCUUGAAAAUUCUUCCUUUGCCUGAAGAUCUAGCAAGAUAUGACAGUGUAAAGAUGAUUUAAAAUAAAGAUACAGGAUGAAUUCUGAAGAUUAUUGUCACAAUCUGUAGGAUUCUGUUCAAGGCUCUGGGUGUGUACAAGGGAACCCCGAGGGCCUGACCUUGGAGGUCAGCAGUACUCACCAAAUGUCAGUCUGUUGGGAAGUGG
rnacentral:lncRNA from 1 species